UCCCAGGUAACUCAGCUGCUAAAGAAUCUGCCUACAAAGCAGGAGACCCUGGUUUGAUUCCUGGCUUGGGAA
rnacentral:tRNA from 1 species